rnacentral:lncRNA from 1 species
ACGAAUGCAGAACAGGUUUCAUGCUAUUAAAUUCCAUCCUACAAUUAAACAUAUACUGAGGCUACCAUGCAUAAACUCGUGUACUAUUAACCUUAUUCCCAGAAUAAUUCGAGACCUAUGGCUAAACAACAACACAAUUCUCAAACAAAGAAAGCAUCGACUAACAUGAGCCUUAGUUGAACAUUUUUUGUUUCAAAUCUAUGCUGGUCACUUUGGCAAACUCAAUCGACAGUCAAUCCCAAAAUAAAUGCUAAUUUCAUCUUGACUAAAAUAGAUCUAAACAUAUGUGAAUCGAUUAAACAUUCUAAUGCCACAAUUCCCAAAAACCCCAUAUACAUUCAAAAAAUGCUUCAAUACCUCACAUUCCAAACUACUGGAUUGGAAUAAGUGUUGAAGUUUACAUAUCAAAUUUAAUCUCGUAACAUUGUAUCUAAUAACACAAAAAGAGCAAAUCAUAUAUGAGAAAGAACAAACUUAAUACAUAUUUGAUUGAAUUCCAGCUACAAAAGAUAAACUGAUCAAACAUAUAAACCCCAAAGCUUCCAACUCAAACAACAACAUCAAGUCUUUCAUUUCACCAUGCCAAAUGAGGUUCAGUAAAUACAUGGUUACAACAAAUAAACAAGGAAAUUAUGAGGUUAAGAAAGAGCAGCAGCACUAAAACAACAAAAAUGGAACCAAACAGCAGUGAUUUCAGACAAGACCAAGCAGCAAAAACAGCUUUCAAACCAUUUCAUGAUUCCCAAAUGAGUUAGAGACCUUUUGAAAGUUCUAAUUCUAGAAGUUCAAAAACCCAAACCAGAACUAAAUUGAAUAAGGAAAUACAGAAAAUUUAGUGUUGUUCUUCAUCCGUUUGCCUUUUUUUCUUUUAUUUCUGGCUUGUGGGUAAAGAAAGAGUUCCUUUAUAGGCAAUCCCUAGGGCAGCAUAAAAUGGAUUCAGUUUUGCAUAUUAGUCCUUUUAGAAUUUUUAUUUUUGCUCUCAUGUCCUUAAGUUAAAAUUAG